UACGUAGGGUGCGAGCGUUGUCCGGAAUUACUGGGCGUAAAGAGCUCGUAGGUGGUUUGUUGCGUCGGGAGUGAAAACACACAGCUCAACUGUGUGCUUGCUUUCGAUACGGGCAGACUUGAGGGAUGUAGGGGAGAACGGAAUUCCUGGUGGAGCGGUGGAAUGCGCAGAUAUCAGGAGGAACACCGGUGGCGAAGGCGGUUCUCUGGACAUUUCCUGACGCUGAGGAGCGAAAGCGUGGGGAGCAAACAGGCUUAGAUACCCU
rnacentral:rRNA from 1 species